AUGCAAGUCGAGCGAUUUUUUUAGAACCCGUAAGGGUUUUUUAAAGAUAGCGGCAGACGGCUGAGUAACGCGUAGGAAUUUUCCCUUAUCUCGAGCAUAGCCCCGCGAAAGCGGGAGUAAUUCUCGAUAGUCCCUCCGGGGUAAAGAUUUUUCGGAUAAGGAUAAGCCUGCGUCCUAUCAGGUUGUUGGUGAGGUAAUGGCUCACCAAGCCUAUGACGGGUAGCUGGCCUCAGAGGGUGGUCAGCCAAACUGGGACUGAGACACGGCCCAGACUCCUACGGGAGGCAGCAACUAGGAAUUAUGCGCAAUGGGGGCAACCCUGACGCUGCGACGUCGCGUGGAGGAUGAAGGUCUUCGGAUUGUAAACUCCUUUUAUCGGGGAGCAAGUUCUGAGGGUACCCGAUGAAUAAGUGCCUGCUAACCACGUGCCAGAAGCAUCGGUAAUACGUGGGACACAAGCGUUAUCCGGUUUUACUGGGCGUAAAGAGAUGCGUAGGCGAUUUUUUAAGUUAUUUGUUAAAUCCCGAUGCUCAACAUCGGGACCGCAAGUGAUACUGGAAGAAUUGAGUCAGGUAGAGAGAAGAGGAAUUCCUGGUGGAGCGGUUAAAUGCGUUGAUAUCAGGAGGAACACCAAUUGUGAAGACAUCUUCUUGGACCUGUACUGACGCUAAGGCUCGAAAGCGUGGGGAGCAAAACGGAUUAGAUACCCGUGUAGUCCACGCUGUAAACUAUCCUCGUUAGAUAUCUGUAGUUUCUUUAGUAUUCUUUUUUUCGAAAAAGUGUUACCGGAAAGUAUGGGUGUCGCAGCUAACGCGUUAAACGAGGCGCCUGUGGAGUACGGCCGCAAGGCUAAAACACAAAGGAAUUGACGGGGACCCGCACAAGCAGUGGAGCGCCUGGUUUAAUUCGAUGAUCCACGAAGAACCUCACCUGGGCUUGAACUGUAGCUGCAUUUCCGGUGAAAGCCGGAAGUCCUUCGAGGGUGCUAUAGAGGUGCUGCAUGGCUGUCGUCAGCUCGUGUCGUGAGAUGUAGGGUUAAGUCCCACAACGAGCGCAACCCCUAUCUGAUGUUAAAAUUACUUCAGAGACUGCCCUACCACAAUAGGGAGGAAGGAGGGGAUGACGUCCAGUCAUCAUAUCCCUUAUGUCCAGGGCUACACAGACGCUACAAUGGCCAUUACAACGGGUUUGCCAAACCGCAAGGUGGAGCUAAUCCCAUCAAAAAUGGUCUCAGUUCAGAUUACAGGCUGCAACUCGCCUGUAUGAAGUCGGAAUUGCUAGUAAUCGCGUAUCAGCAUGGCGCGGUGAAUACGUUCUCGGGUCUUGUACACACCGCCCGUCAAGGCAUGGGAGUUGCUUUUGCUCGAAGCCCCCGAGGUA
rnacentral:rRNA from 1 species